AACAUUUAAAUAAUAAUACACAAUGCUCACCAAGUAUUCUAUGCAGAGUAACAUAUUUACUCAUAUUUACCUUGGAAUUUUCUUUUUGAAAAAUCAAAAAUGCAUGGACACAUUCAAUUUUACAACAUGUUAUACUACUCGUAUUUUUUCACCGUUGUUUUUGAUUUUAUUGUGGUUUCCCUCACCUCAUAAAUUACGCAGCUAAAAUGAUUUCCAUAAUUGCAUGAUAAAUAUACGAAUGUUCUGAGUUCUGACGUAGGUAAAAAUAUAUAAGGUGUAUGUGUAAUGUAUAUAUAUCGUGAGAUCGUUCAUAAAAUAAGGGGCUGGCGGGGAGGAGUGGUUGAAGAUCACUAUAGGUAACUUGCCAUACAUAACAUCGUCGU